GACAACUGGCCCAAGGUGAUGGCUAUGGAUUAUGUACAGUAGGGACUGUCAAUCUAAAUUGGGCAUCGUUGGAAUAUACUUUCUGUGUUCAUUAUCAAUGUAAGGCAGCCCAUGUAAGCGAUCCCUCAUAGCUCCUUUGUGCUCAGUAGCCGAUCUCUUAGUUUCUUGAUCCCGAGGGUAUCCUGUGCGACAGACCCGCCUUUCCGUGCCCUCAUGUUCAGAUUUUGAGGCCUGUUUAGCCGGACAUCAUCUCCUGUGUGGAGAGCUGUUCCCAGGGGUACGACCCAUUUCGGACUGAGGUUCAGGACGGCAGCGAUCAGAUGCGGGACCAGACUCUUG